CGGGUGAGUAAUGCGUGACCAACCUGCCCCAUGCUCCAGAAUAGCUCUUGGGAACGGGUGGUAAUGCUGGAUGCUCCAACUUGACGCAUGUCUUGUUGGGAAAGUGUUUAGUGGCAUGGGAUGGGGUCGCGUCCUAUCAGCUUGUAGGCGGGGUAAUGGCCCACCUAGGCUUCGACGGGUAGCCGGCCUGAGAGGGCGGACGGCCACAUUGGGACUGAGAUACGGCCCAGACUCCUACGGGAGGCAGCAGCC
rnacentral:rRNA from 1 species